AUGUGUAUGGAUGCAUCUUAUUAGGCUGCUCUACUUGCAUUAGAUGCUCAUGCUUUUGACCUCAGUGAAGCUGAACGUUUGAGAUUUCUCGCGUCUCUUGCCGUAAAGGAUUAAUAUGCACAAUGGAUAGUUGCAAAUCAGAGAAGCCUUCUAGAAGUCAUGGCCGAAUUUCCUUAAGCCAAGCUGCCUCUUGGAGUUUUCUUUGCAGCGAUAGCCCCUCGCUUGCAGCCAAGAUAUAAUUCGAUCUCUUCCUCUCCAAAGUGAGCAAUAUUUCAAAUUUGACCAAUCAAAUUUCCAGUUAUUAUUCAUUAUUGUUAUCAUUGUCAUUUUUCUAGAGAAUGUUUGUUGUUAGAUUUUGUUUUACUAAUCAUGGAAACCAUUGUAAAUUAGAGUAAUACCGAGCUCUUUGAUUUCAUAAAGUGUUGAUUUCAUUUUUGCUUUUCAUUCUUUCUGCAACCAUGAUCAAUUAGGACAAUCCCAAUUUCAUCAAUUUCUUAUUUUUUUUUCUUCUCUUAAUUUUUAUUUUUAUUUUUCAAUUUUAACCAUCUGAUACUUGUCCACCAAUUGGCUAGUUUGGUAAUCAAUUCAAGGUGAUUUUUGGACUAUGAUGCAUCUAAGUUGGUGCUGACGGAUUAAUUUGAGUUACUUGUAUACCACAUAUAUCAACCAUCACAUCUUGCCAAAGUUGUUAUGCCUGAAAGCUACCUCUGCAGAAAUACUUUCCAGCUACAUGAAUACAGAACGAAUCCUUAUCCAUUUGUCUUAACAAUAGUGAGAUUGAGGAAAGUGAACUCUCUGAUGCAAGCUUAACAAAUUUGAAAGAAGAUGGAUCUUCACCGUCCCUAACUCUGAUCAGAAAGCAGCUACAAUUCUCUGUCAGAGUUUGGUGUCCUUGGAUUCGAGUUGGGCUAUUUAAUGGAAAAUCCAAAUUCAUUAGUUAUGUGGGAAGCUCAAUUUCGAGAUUUUUCAAAUGGUGCUCAAGUGAUGUUUGAUCAGUUUUUGAGUAGUGGGGACUCUAAGUGGCUGUGCCAAACUAGGCUUGUUGUGCUACUUCCUCAUGGUUAUGAUGGUUAGGGCCCUGAACAUUCAAGUGCUAGGUUAGAGCGUUUCCUUUAGGGAAGAAGACAAUUGAACUUGAAAUAUGCAUUGGACAGAAUGGUAACACUGGAAAUAUAAAAGCUACCAAGCAUAGUAUGUCAUCAGGUUUAGAGAUGAAGCUUGAUGAGCUGCAGAAAGAGCUCUCUUCAAGUCAUAAAGGAAUAUUGCCGCAUAACAUUCUUUCCACCCAACAGAUCAGCACGUUAAGCGCCGAAAAACCAACUUCCAUGGAGUAGCUAAGGACUAGCCUUGUUUUGACUAUCAUAGGAGCAAUUUUCAAAUGGCUAAUGGUGGGUGAUCCACUCUUCUCAUUGCAUACAAGUGGGUCAAUCCAGAGUUCAAAUCACUUUAGCCUUUUGACGCCACUUGUGCUAGGAGUAGACCAUAUAGAGGAUUUGUUUUUAUUUAUUCAUUUAUAUUCAAGACCAUUUAUUGUAAUGAAUAUUAUAUAUAUUUUUAAUUGUGUAGUAAUAUAAAUUUUGUUUAA